GACGAACGCUGGCGGCGUGCUUAACACAUGCAAGUCGAACGGAAAGGCCCCUUUGGGGGUACUCGAGUGGCGAACGGGUGAGUAACACGUGAGUAACCUGCCCUUGACUUCGGGAUAACUUCAGGAAACUGGGGCUGAUACCGGAUAGGAAUCCUUGCUGCAUGGUGGGGGUUGGAAAGCUUCGGCGGUUUUGGAUGGACUCGCGGCUUAUCAGCUUGUUGGUGGGGUAGUGGCUUACCAAGGCUUUGACGGGUAGCCGGCCUGAGAGGGCGACCGGCCACAUUGGGACUGAGAUACGGCCCAGACUCCUACGGGAGGCAGCAGGGGGGAAUAUUGCACAAUGGGCGGAAGCCUGAUGCAGCAACGCCGCGUGCGGGAUGACGGCCUUCGGGUUGUAAACCGCUUUCAGCAGGGGCGAAGCUUGUGGUGACGGUACCUGCAGAAGAAGCACCGGCUAACUACGUG
rnacentral:rRNA from 1 species